GACGAACCGUGCUAACGUUAUUCGGAAUCACUGGGCUUAAAGGGCGCGUAGGCGGGCAAGCAAGUCGAAGGUGAAAUCCCACGGCUCAACCGUGGAAGUGCCCCCGAUACUGCUUGUCUGGAGGGAGAUAGGGGCGUGCGGAACUUCCGGUGGAGCGGUGAAAUGCGUAGAUAUCAAGAGGAACACCAGUGGCGAAGGCGAGUCCCUGGACAACACCUGACACUGAGGCACGAAAGCUAGGGGAGCAAACAGG
rnacentral:rRNA from 1 species